rnacentral:rRNA from 1 species
GAUGAACGCUGGCGGCGUGCUUAACACAUGCAACUCGAACGGUGAAGGCGGAGCUUGCUCUGCUGGAUCAGUGGCGAACGGGUGAGUAACACGUGAGCAAUCUGCCCCUGACUCUGGGAUAAGCGCUGGAAACGGCGUCUAAUACUGGAUACGAGCUGCGAAGGCAUCUUCAGCAGCUGGAAAGAACUUCGGUCAGGGAUGAGCUCGCGGCCUAUCAGCUUGUUGGUGAGGUAACGGCUCACCAAGGCGUCGACGGGUAGCCGGCCUGAGAGGGUGACCGGCCACCAGGGGACUGAGAGACGGCCCAGCCCCCACGGGGGGGCGAGGGGGGGAAAUAUGGAAAAGGGGCAGAAAGCUGGAGACACCAGCCCGCGGGGAGGAACGCCGGCUUUGGGGUGAAAAACCUCUUUAGGCGGAGAAGAAGCUAAAGGGACGGUACCUAAAAAAAAAGCGCCGGCUAACUUCGUG